UGAGGAAUAUUGGUCAAUGGGCGAGAGCCUGAACCAGCCAAGUAGCGUGCGGGAUGAAGGCCCUUGUGGUCGUAAACCGCUUUUAUCAGUGAAUAAAGUGCAUCACGUGUGGUGUCAUUGCAGGUAGCUGAAGAAAAAGGACCGGCUAAUUCCGUGCCAGCAGCCGCGGUAAUACGGAAGGUCCGGGCGUUAUCCGGAAUUAUUGGGUUUAAAGGGAGCGCAGGCGGGAGUAUAAGUCAGCUGUUAAAUAUCAGAGCCCAACUCUGUUAUGCAGUUGAAACUAUAUUUCUUGAGUACGCACAGGGAUGGCGGAAUUCAGGGUGUAGCGGUGAAAUGCUUAGAUAUCCUGAAGAACUCCGAUCGCGAAGGCAGCCAUCCGGAGCGUAACUGACGCUGAGGCUCGAAGGUGCGGGUAUCGAACAGGAUUAGAUACCCUGGUAGUCCGCACGGUAAACGAUGAAUACUCGCAGUUCGGUCAUUAUGAUUGAGUUGUCCAGCGAAAGCGUUAAGUAUUCCACCUGGGGAGUACGCCGGCCGGU
rnacentral:rRNA from 1 species